rnacentral:rRNA from 1 species
UACGGAGGGUGCAAGCGUUAAUCGGAAUUACUGGGCGUAAAGCGCACGUAGGUGGUUUGUUAAGCCAGCUGUGAAAUCCCCGGGCUCAACCUGGGCACUGCAGUUGGAACUGGCAAGCUAGAGUAGGGUAGAGGGGUGUGGAAUUCCAGGUGUAGCGGUGAAAUGCGUAGGUAUCUGGAGGAACAUCAGUGGCGAAGGCGACACCCUGGACUCAUACUGACACUGAGGUGCGAAAGCGUGGGGAGCAAACAGG